rnacentral:rRNA from 1 species
UGCAAGUCGAGGGGCAGCGGAGAGGUAGCAAUACCUUUGCCGGCGACCGGCGCACGGGUGAGUAACACGUAUGCAAUCCACCUGUAACAGGGGGAUAACCCGGAGAAAUCCGGACUAAUACCCCAUAAUAUGGGCGCUCCGCAUGGAGAGUUCAUUAAAGAGAGCAAUUUUGGUUACAGACGAGCAUGCGCUCCAUUAGCCAGUUGGCGGGGUAACGGCCCACCAAGGCGACGAUGGAUAGGGGUUCUGAGAGGAAGGUCCCCCACAUUGGAACUGAGACACGGUCCAAACUCCUACGGGAGGCAGCAGUGAGGAAUAUUGGUCAAUGGUCGGCAGACUGAACCAGCCAAGUCGCGUGAGGGAAGACGGCCCUACGGGUUGUAAACCUCUUUUGUCGGAGAGUAAAGUACGCUACGUGUAGCGUAUUGCAAGUAUCCGAAGAAAAAGCAUCGGCUAACUCCGUGCCAGCAGCCGCGGUAAUACGGAGGAUGCGAGCGUUAUCCGGAUUUAUUGGGUUUAAAGGGUGCGUAGGCGGCAUGCCAAGUCAGCGGUGAAAUUUCCGGGCUCAACCCGGAGUGUGCCGUUGAAACUGGCGAGCUAGAGUGCACAAGAGGCAGGCGGAAUGCGUGGUGUAGCGUGAAAUGCAUAGAUAUCACGCA